GCCCACGCACGCAACCGCGGUGCGCACAAACCCCAGAAUUAGCGAGACUAUUUUUGAUCAAAGCCACCGCAAGACAUGUGUAGCCGUUUCCAAAACGGGACACGUAGAAGACGAGAAGACAAAGCCACAUCAGAGGGGGGUGGAGGUGACUACUGAAGUUUGGAACAGGAAAGAUUACAACUUCUUGACGAAAUGAAGAAGAGGAACAACUGCCAGAUCAUCAGUGAAAAACUAGAAUUAACAUUCUCCAUACGCAGACAGGAAGUUGUGAUACUUGUCAGUGACGUCAAAGAUAGCCUGCUCUUUUUGAUGCAGCACAGGUCAUUCCAGUCUCUAGCAGCAGCGUUCUGAAAAGACGACAGGCCAAGUACAGAAGUAGCCUUAGGAACUGUCAACAGAAUCAGAUUAGCAGAUCGAGUAUUAUACACAGAAGUAGAAAAGUGUAACAAUUCCUAUAAAUGAUGAAUUGAGAAGGAUCACCACCGUUAACCUGGAAUCAACAUUAAUGGCAAAACUGGACCAAUACUCCCCGAAAAUAAUGGUCUUGGAUUCUUCGAGAGGAGGGGCUACAAAAAUUAAGACCCAGCAAAUUAGGAACAUGUAUGGAUAAAUAAAUUAAAUCUAGAUUUUUUUUAUAUAAUUAACAGGCUGUUGUGUUUGUUACAUUAGCUAAUCAUGAUAAUGAAUUAAUCUCAUGAGCAUUGUGGUUUGUCUUUUACUUGAGAGUGAA